UACAUAUUUUGACAUUUCCAAGGGCCUUGAAGAAGACCCAGAGAACAAUUUUUGGCAACUCCAUUCAUCCCAUCGGGGUA
rnacentral:snRNA from 1 species